rnacentral:rRNA from 1 species
AACGAACGUUAGCGGCGCGCUUAACACAUGCAAGUCGCACGAGAAAGGGCUUCGGCCCCGGUAAAGUGGCGCACGGGUGAGUAACACGUGGGUAAUCUUCCCUCGAGCGGGGGAUAACAUUCCGAAAGGAGUGCUAAUACCGCAUAAGACCACGGCUUCGAAAGAAGCUGAGGUCAAAGCUGGCCUCUAUAUAUAAGCUAGCACUUGAGGAUGAGCCCGCGGCCCAUCAGGUAGUUGGUAGGGUAACGGCCUACCAAGCCUAAGACGGGUAGCUGGUCUGAGAGGAUGAUCAGCCACACUGGAACUGAGACACGGUCCAGACUCCUACGGGAGGCAGCAGUGGGGGAAUCUUGCGCAAUGGGCGAAAGCCUGACGUAGCGACACCGCGUGAGCGAAGAAGCCCCUUGGGGUGUAAAGCUCUGUCAGCUGGAACGAAAAAAAUGACGGUACCAGCAGAGGAAGCAUCGGCUAACUACGUGCCAGCAGCCGCGGUAA